rnacentral:rRNA from 1 species
AGAGUUUGAUCAUGGCUCAGAAUCAACGCUGGCGGCGCGCUUAACACAUGCAAGUCGCACGAGAAAGGGGGCAACCCUGAGUAAAGUGGCGUACGGGUGAGUAACACGUGGAUUAUCUGCCUUUUAGUGGGGAAUAACCCUGGGAAACCGGGGCUAAUACCGCAUAAGCUCGUAAGAGGAAAGCAGCAAUGCGCUGAAAGAGGAAUCCGCGGCUGAUUAGCUAGUUGGUGGGGUAAUGGCUCACCAAGGCGAAGAUCGGUAGCCGGCCUGAGAGGGCACACGGCCACACUGGCACUGAAACACGGGCCAGACUCCUACGGGAGGCAGCAGUGGGGAAUCUUGCACAAUGGAGGAAACUCUGAUGCAGCGACGCCGCGUGAGCGAUGAAGCCCUUCGGGGUGUAAAGCUCUUUCGACGGGAACGAUAAUGACGGUACCCGAAGAAGAAGCUGCGGCUAACUACGUGCCAGCAGCCGCGGUAAUACGUAGGCAGCGAGCGUUGUUCGGAAUUACUGGGCGUAAAGAGUCUGUAGGCGGUGCUCUAAGUCUGGUGUGAAAUCUCCCGGCUCAACUGGGAGGGUGCGCCGGAAACUGGAGUGCUCGAGUGUGGGAGAGGUAAGCGGAAUUCCUGGUGUAGCGGUGAAAUGCGUAGAUAUCAGGAGGAACACCUGUGGUGUAGACAGCUUACUGGACCAUCACUGACGCUGAGAGACGAAAGCGUGGGUAGCAAACAGGAUUAGAUACCCUGGUAGUCCACGCCCUAAACGAUGCAUACUUGGUGUGAGCCAUUCAUUUGGUUCGUGCCGGAGCUAACGCGUUAAGUAUGCCGCCUGGGGAGUACGGUCGCAAGGCUGAAACUCAAAGGAAUUGACGGGGCCCGCACAAGCGGUGGAGCAUGUGGUUCAAUUCGACGCAACGCGAAGAACCUUACCUGGGCUCGAACGGCUUCGGACCAU